rnacentral:rRNA from 1 species
AUUGAACGCUGGCGGCAUGCUUUACACAUGCAAGUCGAACGGUAACAGGCCUCAAGGUGCUGACGAGUGGCGAACGGGUGAGUAAUGCAUCGGAACGUGCCCAGUCGUGGGGGAUAACUACUCGAAAGAGUAGCUAAUACCGCAUACGAUCUAUGGAUGAAAGCGGGGGACCGUAAGGCCUCGCGCGAUUGGAGCUGCCGAUGUCAGAUUAGGUAGUUGGUGGGGUAAAGGCUCACCAAGCCAACGAUCUGUAGCUGGUCUGAGAGGACGACCAGCCACACUGGGACUGAGACACGGCCCAGACUCCUACGGGAGGCAGCAGUGGGGAAUUUUGGACAAUGGGAGCAAGCCUGAUCCAGCAAUGCCGCGUGGAGGAAGAAGGCCUUCGGGUUGUAAACUGCUUUUGUACGGAACGAAACGGCUCUGGUUAAUACCCGGGGCUAAUGACGGUACCGUAAGAAUAAGCACCGGCUAACUACGUG